GAUGAACGCUGGCGGCGUGCCUAAUACAUGCAAGUCGAGCGAACAGACGAGGAGCUUGCUCCUCUGACGUUAGCGGCGGACGGGUGAGUAACACGUGGAUAACCUACCUAUAAGACUGGGAUAACUUCGGGAAACCGGAGCUAAUACCGGAUAAUAUAUUGAACCGCAUGGUUCAAUAGCGAAAGACGGUUUUGCUGUCACUUAUAGAUGGAUCCGCGCCGCAUUAGCUAGUUGGUAAGGUAACGGCUUACCAAGGCAACGAUGCGUAGCCGACCUGAGAGGGUGAUUGGCUACACGGGCACUGAGACACGGUCCAGACUCCUACGGGGGGAAGCAGUAGGGAAUCUUCCGCAAUGGGGGAAAGCCUGACGGAGCAACGCCGCGUGAGUGAUGAAGGUCUUCGGAUCGUAAAACUAUGUUAUUAGGGAAGAACAAAUGUGUAAGUAACUAUGCACGUCUUGACGGUACCUAAUCAGAAAGCCACGGCUAACUACGUG
rnacentral:rRNA from 1 species